GGAGUUAGGAAAUGUAGGUGCGAUAAUACCGUGCUUAUUUGACAAAGGCUCCAAAGGAAGCCACGGCUAACUCUGUGCCAGCAGCCGCGGUAAUACAGAGGUGGCAAGCGUUGUUCGGAAUUAUUGGGCGUAAAGAGCACGUAGGUGGACUUGUUAGUCAGAUGUGAAAGCCUUUUGUUCAACGGAAGAAUUGCAUCUGAAACUACAAACCUUGAGUAUAGGAGGGGAGAGUGGAACUUCUG
rnacentral:rRNA from 1 species